rnacentral:misc_RNA from 1 species
GAAAAAAAACAAAAUAAAAUAAAUUACAUUAAACAAUCAAAAAUUGCUAAAAAACAACAAUCAAUAAUCAAUUAAUAAAUAUUGGUUUCAUUACAGACUUGAAUCUCAACAAAUAAUAAGAAGAAGAAAUUAAGAAGAAGAUGUUUGAACCUCAACAGACAAUGUGAUGCUAUUUUAAGAUGAACAGACGAAGAGGAGUAGAUGGCAAGGGAGAAAAAGAGAAGGCGAC